GACGCCUUCUUUCUGCCAGCUGGAGGCGGAAGUCCAGGGAGGGGCUCCCUGCUGGUUGGUGAGGAUUGAAGUUCUACCUCCUUACCUGGACCCCUCUGACACCAAGCCAGCAGGACUGUUGGGGCACCACCUUGUUACAGCUUCAUAAAGUUCCUUCGGUUGUUACAGUCCGAGACUAAGAUGCAGUUCUGAAUAGUCCACAGAAGACCACGGAGGAGAAAAGAUUCUGGUCCCCGAAAAGAAAAGGAGAUACCUCCCAUCCACCAGCCAUGUGGCUCCAUCCUGGCUUGCAGCUAGUAGUCCCAGGGCACAGCGGCUUCGGUACCUGCUUCUAAACCGGGUUUGAAUCCCAAUCCCUCCACUUACUGGGUCCUGUCUCCAAAGAAGGUGUGGAUCCAAGCUCAGCCUGUCUGAUUGUGUUGACAAACAAAAGAUGCAUCAAGACCCAGAAGGACAGGGAGCGAGGCCAUUUUCAGGGGACAGCAGGGAGAAGUCUUGCUAAUUCCUCCCGCACUACCAAGAAACCCUUCCUAGAAGUCGGCGCUUUGCCCCGGAUUACAAGGUGCAAACAUAGCUGCCCUUCCUCACUCUCCUCCCCGUCGCCUGCCGAACCACCACAUGAAUCCUGCUCUCCUUGAAGGCAGCAGGUCAUCUUGGCAAUCAGAAAUCCCGCCAGCUGGACUCGGUUCAAGUUCAGUUGCGUCCCCCUGACUGGCCAGAACCCAUCCAUCUCUGUUGAAAUACUCGGCCGAUAAUAGCCAAGGGGAUGAGACCAGCGCAGGAAAACGGAUUGCUAACAGAUUGGCUUGCUUGGCCUCCAACUCGGGAUAAUAUAUGAGCAGCGAGGUAAAAUGAAUGGAGCCUUGGCUAAGUCCUUUCGUACCUCCUUAGGGGCCUUGUCGCUUCUA